CUAUCCGGGUAGGAAUGCUUGGGAAUCUCCAGAUUCUAUCCGGGUAGGAAUGCUUGGGAAUCUCCAGAUUCUAUCCAGGUAGGAAUGCUUGGGAAUCUCCAGAUUCUAUCCGGGUAGGAAUGCUUGGGAAUCUCCAGAUUCUAUCCAGGUAGGAAUGCUUGGGAAUCUCCAGAUUCUAUCCAGGUAGGAAUGCUUGGGAAUCUCCAGAUUCUAUCCAGG